rnacentral:rRNA from 1 species
CCUACGGGCUGCACCAGUAGGGAAUCUUCGGCAAUGGACGAAAGUCUGACCGAGCAACGCCGCGUGAGUGAAGAAGGUUUUCGGAUCGUAAAACUCUGUUGGUAGAGAAGAACGUUGGUGAGAGUGGAAAGCUCAUCAAGUGACGGUAACUACCCAGAAAGGGACGGCUAACUACGUGCCAGCAGCCGCGGUAAUACGUAGGUCCCGAGCGUUGUCCGGAUUUAUUGGGCGUAAAGCGAGCGCAGGUGGUUUAUUAAGUCUGGUGUAAAAGGCAGUGGCUCAACCAUUGUAUGCAUUGGAAACUGGUAGACUUGAGUGCAGGAGAGGAGAGUGGAAUUCCAUGUGUAGCGGUGAAAUGCGUAGAUAUAUGGAGGAACACCGGUGGCGAAAGCGGCUCUCUGGCCUGUGACUGACACUGAGGCUCGAAAGCGUGGGGAGCAAACAGGAUUAGAUACCCCCGUAGUC